rnacentral:tRNA from 1 species
GCCUGGCUGGCUCAGUUGGUGGACCGUGAGACUCUCAAUCUCAGGGUUGUGAGUUUGAGCCCCACAUCGGGUG